GGAGGAGUUACGCAGGCAGGGUUGUGGUUGCUGGCUGUUACCAGGACAACCGGAGGCGAUUGACCGUUAUCUGCGGUUUGGAGCCGUUAGCGGGAGAGGCAGAGAUAUUCAGAGGUCUUUUAGGAUGCGCUAAAGGGUCGUGAGGGCUCUCUUAAAAUUUUCUUCACAAGCGGUUAUCCAGUCGUGCCCCGCGGCCCUGCUGCUGGCCCCGGGGAUCUGAGUCGUACCCUCUUGUUUUUCUCUGAGUCAGUCUUAAGGUGAAAUGAAGUGUGGCCCAGUGGCUCCUCACUGUCGCUUCUCUAGUUUUCUGCCUCCUUUUAGAAAAUUGAAUUGAAAAGACAGGAUGAAGUGGACACAGCAUGUGAAGACAAUUCUUUCAAGAAGUUUGGCUGUCAAGGAAAACAGAGAAUGUGAGUAGCCAAAGCAGAAUGACA